GAUGAACGCUGGCUGCGUGCCUAAUACAUGCAAGUCGAGCGAACGGACGAGAAGCUUGCUUCUCUGAUGUUAGCGGCGGACGGGUGAGUAACACGUGGAUAACCUACCUAUAAGACUGGGAUAACUUCGGGAAACCGGAGCUAAUACCGGAUAAUAUUUUGAACCGCAUGGUUCAAAAGUGAAAGACGGUCUUGCUGUCACUUAUAGAUGGAUCCGCGCUGCAUUAGCUAGUUGGUAAGGUAACGGCUUACCAAGGCAACGAUGCAUAGCCGACCUGAGAGGGUGAUCGGCCACACUGGAACUGAGACACGGUCCAGACUCCUACGGGAGGCAGCAGUAGGGAAUCUUCCGCAAUGGGCGAAAGCCUGACGGAGCAACGCCGCGUGAGUGAUGAAGGUCUUCGGAUCGUAAAACUCUGUUAUUAGGGAAGAACAUAUGUGUAAGUAACUGUGCACAUCUUGACGGUACCUAAUCAGAAAGCCACGGCUAACUACGUGCCAGCAGCCGCGGUAGUACGUAGGUGGCAAGCGUUAUCCGGAAUUAUUGGGCGUAAAGCGCGCGUAGGCGGUUUUUUAAGUCUGAUGUGAAAGCCCACGGCUCAACCGUGGAGGGUCAUUGGAAACUGGAAAACUUGAGUGCAGAAGAGGAAAGUGGAAUUCCAUGUGUAGCGGUGAAAUGCGCAGAGAUAUGGAGGAACACCAGUGGCGAAGGCGACUUUCUGGUCUGUAACUGACGCUGAUGUGCGAAAGCGUGGGGAUCAAACAGGAUUAGAUACCCUGGUAGUCCACGCCGUAAACGAUGAGUGCUAAGUGUUAGGGGGUUUCCGCCCCUUAGUGCUGCAGCUAACGCAUUAAGCACUCCGCCUGGGGAGUACGACCGCAAGGUUGAAACUCAAAGGAAUUGACGGGGACCCGCACAAGCGGUGGAGCAUGUGGUUUAAUUCGAAGCAACGCGAAGAACCUUACCAAAUCUUGACAUCCUUUGACAACUCUAGAGAUAGAGCUUUCCCCUUCGGGGGACAAAGUGACAGGUGGUGCAUGGUUGUCGUCAGCUCGUGUCGUGAGAUGUUGGGUUAAGUCCCGCAACGAGCGCAACCCUUAAGCUUAGUUGCCAUCAUUAAGUUGGGCACUCUAAGUUGACUGCCGGUGACAAACCGGAGGAAGGUGGGGAUGACGUCAAAUCAUCAUGCCCCUUAUGAUUUGGGCUACACACGUGCUACAAUGGACAAUACAAAGGGCAGCGAAACCGCGAGGUCAAGCAAAUCCCAUAAAGUUGUUCUCAGUUCGGAUUGUAGUCUGCAACUCGACUACAUGAAGCUGGAAUCGCUAGUAAUCGUAGAUCAGCAUGCUACGGUGAAUACGUUCCCGGGUCU
rnacentral:rRNA from 1 species